UGUUUCGAGUUACUCCGGAACACCCGGGAUUUUUCGUAUUUAGCCACGCCGGUCACGUGAUAUGAGCAAAAUGUUCCACAGGGGUACUUCCGGUUAAUUUUGUUUACACUGGUAACAAAAUUGUUUUUGACAAAAUAUAGAUUUUGCGGCACAAACUGUCGCAAAUCAGAUAAAGGAUAGCAAGGGAUAUAUAUUUACUUGGGAAGAUGUCAAAGUUUACCUUUUCCCACACCCGGGAAAAGCGUUCACGCAGAGGAAACGAUGGCGUCAUUUGUGUAGAAAACCACGAGCAGCCAAAAUUGAGUGCGAUUAUUACAUUCCGUGAAAGCUGAACCAACAAAGAAACAUCAUUGUUCUAGCCAGUUUGCUUAUAUUAACUUUUAGGAAAACCAAGAGGUUGAUAACAAUGGCUGAUCUGCAUAUAAUGACUGCUAGUUAUUGGCUGGUAUGCAGUGAAAGGGAGCUAAAAAGGAGUAAAAAGUUCAUAUCAGCCAGGUGAGAAUUAAUUUCUUCUUUUUUGUGUGUUAUACAUAUGUAAUUCUUUUCUUUUGCUGCUUCAAAUCUUGUGUAUUUGAAAAUUUUCAGUCUAAUAUUUGGCAAUGUUAUAGGUAGUGUGGU